AGUCAGCCCCUGGGGCCGCCCGGGGAGCUGGGAUGCAGCGCGGGCCACGUGCGCCCGGCAGUACUUAGGUGGUGGCGGCCGGCAGGCGGUGGGGGAGACCUUCCGUGAACUGGCCUUUGCUCCGCCGAGACGACCACCCCUUAGCCGCAGGGGCGCCCGGUGUUUUUCUGCUUUGAUUUCUGAGGCUACUGACGCCCCGAGCGGAGCCGGCAUCUCCAGACCAGGCCGUGGAGCUGCAGCGAGAAGAAUGUGCCUGCUUUGGCUGUGGAUCGCGAGCGCCCGGGCCGCAAAGAUUCAGGGAGAGGUGGGGACGACACGUCAAAGACAUUAUGAGGAAGAAGAUGAAACUCAAAGGUAAGAUUUAUAAACAUAUGCUCCCUGCUCUUAGAUUAAGUGUCCCUGAAGACUUCAACCUAAAGUGGAUCCCUGUAAGUCAAAAUCCUGAUCUUGCACAUGCUGAUGUCUUCUAUUUGGAUACCAGUGGGAAUUGUUAAGUGACUAUGUAAAUCUGACGACAGUGAAGCACAAGCAUUUAUUUGAGAGUGCUGACUAGGGGGAGGUGCAAAAUGUGAAGUAGUAACAAAUGAAAACUGCCUGUAGACAGAGAGGAAUGACAAGGAUACAUUCAGGCAUGUACUGAAGUCAUAAAAUGUAAGUACACUGUACAAAUAAUACACAUUCUGAGGCCUGGAUUCAAAUCCUAUCAGUGACAAUUAUAAUUGUGUAAUCUAGGUGAAGUCACUUACCCUUUCUGUCUUGUCCCCACAGUGCUACCUUAUGGGGUUGUUGCAAGAAUUAAAUGAAAUGAUAUGUGCAAAUAGUGCCUGGACACAAUGAGCUCAGUAUAAAUGUUAGUCAUUGGUACCACCCCAUCAUUAUUAUUGUUGUUUUGGAGAAUUACAUGAGCAAGGGCAAGAGGGCAUGUAGAAUGUGUAAAGCACCAACAGGGAAGGUCUCCUUGAGACCCGGUGGAAUCUGAGUUGGGCUUUUAAGUAUAGAACUUAUAAUGAUGGAACUAGGCAGUGAUUCUGGGUGUAGGAAAUAGAAUGAAGCAAAGUUCACAGAAAAAAAAAAGUUGGAGAUGUGAGGAAGUCAAGUGGCAGGUAUGAUGUUUUGGGAUGGUAGUGAUAAGGCUAGAAGGGAAAACAAUCUCAGGGUCUGGCAGCUAUUUAGAUGUGGCAAAUGAGGGAGAACGAGGGGACACGUAUAACCUAAAUAUAAGUUGGGCAUCCAAAUGGCUCAGUCUCAAAGCAUCAAUGAACUGAUAAACAGUCUAGCAACCAAAACUAUUUUAAAACCAAUUCAAAAUUUUGCUUGCCAUUCUUCAAGAACAUUAAAAAGCAAAAGUUUUAGGAACAAUUCUUAAAUUUCCCUUUCCUCUCCUAAUUCUUACAUUUCAUCAGCUCUGGUACUUGUCACUCUCUUAACCCUUCACUUUCCAUUUCUUCUGUUCUAAAAUGGACAUGAAGCCCUUGUCUCUUUUCGUUUCCUUUCCUCUUUUCCUCCUUUCCUUCUGCCUCUUCAGUCUUCUCUCUUCUUAUCCAUACCCCUCAUUUUGAAUCAUGAAACCUAGAGACCAUCCUGGAAAAGGCGGGAAUUUCCUUAGAGGUCAGGCUUAGCAAAGCCAUCAAAGAUAAUAUUCUCUUCAUGGUGCGUGGUAGAGGGGUUUAUGUUGUGGCAGAGAGGUUCUAUGUGAACACUCUCAUGUUAAUACAUUUUUAAAUCAUCAAAGAUAAGAGUAAUAUUUUGAGCCUUGGUGAUGGGAUAAUGGGGGAUAUGUCAUUACAGAAAUAGGGAAACCAAGGAAUGGAAGACCUUUGGGGGCAAGAUGUGGAGACUGGAACUGAGCAUGGAUUGGAGCUACAGUAUCAUUCAAGGAAUAAGUAGACAGAAACCUGGACAAAUUGAUUGGGAAUUCAGAUAGAUUUGGGCAUUAUCCCCACAGGAGUGAUAGUUGAAGGUAUAGGAACGAGUGAGAAGAGAAAUACAGAGGACAUAAAGAGAAAGAUGAGAGUUAAGGAUGGAAGUGUGGAAAAUACCUACAUUUCAGGAUAGAAGUUAAUAAGUGAAUUCAGGGAAGAAUAGUCCUGGUGUCUAGGACUCACACAGAUGAAUUCCACCAGAAUCUCUGGAAGUGGGCUUUAUGAAUUAACAUUGUUGACACCUUCCUCAGCAAUUCCAUGUGCAGCCAGGUUGAGAGCCACUGCUCUGGUGGUUAUGUGAUGCUUAAUGGUUUUCAGGGUUGUGGGGGAAAGCAGUUGGUAAGGAAUGAAGUCCUAGUUUUUUGGAUUUAGAAGCCAGAAACUCUACCAUUCUCAUUUUGCUGAGGAACCCAGGGCACCAAGAGACUAACUGUGUGACCUUGAACAAGAAACUGAAUGGCUUCCCACCUCAUGCUUACCUCUCAGUGCCACAGACACACUCCUCUCCCUCAUCCUCACCUGCUCCUCCCCACCACAGCCCAAGUCCUGCCCUGAGACUCCCAAGGCUGGGCAAUCUGCCAAAGGCUCUCCAUUCAGAAAUUUUUUUUUUUUAUUAAAGUGUGGUGGAUUUACAAUGUUGUGCCACUUUCUGCUGCACGGCAAGGCAGAUUUUUUUUUUUAACUUUUUAGGAAAAAAGGGUCUUUUUGGCUGUGCCCAUGGCAUGUGGAAGUUCCCGGGCUAGGAAUCGAACCCGCCUGAGCCAUAGCAAUGACAAUGCCAGAUCCUUGACCCUCUGAGCCACCAGGGAAUUCCAAGAUUUUAGAACACCUUUCUGACAGAUUAAAGGCUCACCUGAGGUCUCUUCAGCAGCAGCAGACAAGACCACGCUAUCGGAGGAAACCCAUUAAGAGGGUUUCUCAUAGCUUUGUGAGCCUGGAGAGAAGGUUAACCACUAGAGAAAAUGGCAGGGGGGAUCCUUUAUUUUGGGGUACUGGAGAAGCCCUGGCUUCUAGCACCCUCCCCUCCUCUCAGGCUCUGGCAGCCCCCUCCGUGCUGUUUAUGAAUUGGCGUCGAAGUCUGGGGCUGCCGUGGUAAGGCUGCCAGCGCUGACGAGGACGCAGCAUUUGUGGGAAUUCUGUGACUCCAGAAGGCGAAAGGUCAGUUUCUUUUCAUUGACAGUAUUCUUGCUGCCCAAGGGUUUAUCUCUGGGAAUCUUGACUGGUUUCCAGGGUUAGGCUUCACCUCUAUUGUUAUAUGGAAACACAGGAACAGCCCUGUUGUCGUGCCAGACUGGGUUCGACAUUGGACUCCAUUCCCCACGGCACUGUAGUCCCGCACCCCCCCCCCCCNCGUCUUCCAAAAUAGCUGAAGAGGCUUUUUAAAGAUACACAAACCUGUUCAUGUGCCUCUCAUACACAUACAUUUGGGCUUGAUUUCUACUCCCCCCGUCUUUCUUUUCUUUCUUUCUUUCUUUCUUUCUUUCUUUCUUUCUUUCUUUCUUUCUUUCUGGGCUCUACAAAGUCACCCAUGAAUAUGAUCCAACAUUGGAAUGUACCCUGGAGCUUGAGGACACGCCUGACAUCCCCUGAAAACACUUGUCUUUCACUCAUCCUCAUACACUGAAAAGAUGCGCACAUGUAACCCCUGAACUCACACACGACUCCACCAGUUCCUGGUCACACUAAAAAUCCAUUUGAGUUACACAUGUGCUUGCUUACCCCUGGCUCCCACACGCCCACCUGGAGGUGUGUAUACACAGCGCUGAUGUCUGUGAUCACCGCUGCGCUGAAAACACACCUUUAGGUGCCUAAGAAACAAAUGGCAAGAGCGAAGGGAAACAGGACAGCGGAAAGAAUGGCCCUGCUCCAUCCACUUCUGUCCUGAAGCAAAGCAACCUGGAUCUUUUGGGCUAACUUGUGUGCUGGGAACCCAGUGCAGACUUUUACAACAGGCCCUGAUCUGAGUGCAAGCCUCAGAGGAGCAGUCUCCUCCCCAGCCACGUCUGUCUGCUGGGUUCCUCCAGCUGUCUCCAGGGCAGUUCUCCCUAAAUGCAAACUAUUAGCAUUUCCUGUUAAAACAUUUCUAAUAAAUAAAUGAAUACAUCAUCUUCUCAACCCAAAGCAGGUCUGAAAGCAGCCUAGGAGCUCCUCUGAGCUAAGGACGGACAUGGACCACCCAGCACCAGCCCACUGGCCCGGGGCCAGUGCUGCUUUUGUUUGAAUUCCUGUAUGAGUAACUGCUCAAGUUGAUGCCAGCCAAACUCAGUGAAAUAUUAUUUUUAAUAUUAAAUAAAUAGAUGGUGGGGUGUGUUGAUCUUUUUUUUCCCCCAGUAAACUGCAGCAUCACAACAUAGAAACUGGCUCUUGUAUCCAGAUUUCCUCAGAUAGCAGAAGGAAGGUUGACAUUCUCUUUGACCUUCCUCAUGGAACUCUUACCCCCCAGGAGACAGAAAAGUCCCAGUUGGUGUUGACAGGACCCUAUUUGGAGUAAGCUGGGAGUUCAAAUGCUAACAAAACUUGUAUGGGUUCACCAGCCAUUUUUGUUAAUUUUUUCUAACUUAUUGUUUUCUUUCAAUAACAGAAGGCACAUGAACUUUAUAUAAAAAGUAGAAAGCACAGAUAAACAAGAAGCUGCUGAGAUCUUACGACCCAGUAAGAGACAAUUACUCCUAAAUUUUGGUCCCCUUCUUGAAGGUCUGCCAUGCUUUGUGUUAUUCUUCAAAAUCAGUCUUUGACAAUUUGCUGGAUAAAUAAAAGAAAGGAAGAAAAAAAAGAAAGAAAGAAAGAAAAAAAGAACCACCAGCCUUAAACAUUUAACACUAGAGGUGAGCAGUAUAGGAUAGGACUUUUGCACGUCUGCGUCUUUUUCACAACACGUCUUUUGCCAUGUUGGGCACUGAAGGGGACAGACUGAAGAGAGACCAGUGAUGGCUUCGGAAAGGCUCAGAUGAGUGAGAAGAUGCCUUGACAUCAGAGCAUCUCUUGGGCCUGGUGCAUGGUGGAACACACCUUAGGAAAUGCAGUCUGAUGUCAUAGCGGAAAAUGAUCUUCACGCUGUUCAUGGAGACCAAUGCUGGGCUGUCAGGUUGACCAGUAACAUCCCCAAAUUUUCUGCGAUUUUAGCAAGUGGGUCCAGAAUUUGAUAACACAUCAACAAAAGAAGAAAUCUAUGUCAUCCAGCCCAAUCUUCAACAUUCUCUAUGAGUCCCAGAAAGGGUGUGUGCCUUACCUUAGGUCACACAGCUACUAAUGGUCGAGUGAAUCUCAAGCACUUAACAAUAUCAAGCUCGCUGUUCAUAGCCAGCAUCAAGAACGAUAUUUUAGGAACCUGAGAUUCUUUUUCAUAAAAACCUGCCUUGAUUUGCUCUACAUGGGGCUACUACUCUUUCACAAGGUGCCCAAAUCACCUUUCCUGCCUUGUUAUCUUUUAAAGUCAGUGAGAUUUCUGAAUCAGGAACAGAAUCCUUUCGAUCUCUGCCAUUGACUCUCUUAUCAGAACAACUGACAGACACAGUUCAGUUGACCUAUUCAAGAUCUGCUGGAUCUUUCUCCUCUGUGGCUUGCAGGGAAGGAUGUAAGAAGCAGUGGGAGAGCAGGUAUCAGGAGAGGAGGAUCCUGAUAGAACAAGGAGACAGAUGGAGGCUUAGCUGGCUGCAUGCUGAACUGAGCACCUCUCUGGCAGGAGAGAAGGGAGCUGGGUCCCUGACUGUUUACUUCCAUGGAAGUUCACCUGAAUUCUGCUCCUGGGACAGAAUGGGAUAUUCCCGCCCAAUUCUGGCUGUGCACAUUUCUUCCCAAGAACCUCCGUCUCUGCCCUAUCUAUAUAUGGAAACACAUCUGACAACAGCAGCAGACAAGAAAGAUUUUUGUUCUCUCAGAACGCAGAAAAAUUCUCCGUCAGCAGCCGUUUUUUUCAGUGUUUGGUGCAUUGAUGUGUGGGCUACAUAGACUAUUUUAAAGUCAUAUUUGCCUUCAAGCAAUGGCAGCUUUGUAAACAGUAUGGACAUGGACAUAUGAGUCAGAUUCAGUUUAUAACCAAUGCUAAGGCAAUUCCAAAACUACUUUAUUGUAUAAAUAUUGUUCAGAAUU
rnacentral:lncRNA from 1 species